UUCAAGAUUGAGAUCCAAAACCUCCCAAGACAUUUUGGAUUUGCGCAACUGAAGAAGAUGUUGACUGGUCUGCAACUGGAACCCAAGAAAGUCAAGGCAGUCAACAAGGCAACCUAUGCUUUUGUGACAUUCAGCUGCCAAGAAGAUAAGGAGGAGGCAUUGAAAGUACUCAACGGACACAAAUGGAAAGGACAAGUGCUGAAAGCCAAGCUUUCCAAGCCAGUUGAGGACCUGUAAUCGAAGAGCCUUAUUCUAAGAGAAGUCAAGAGGAAUCUGAUGGAAACACCCAAGAAGCUAAGAGGAGGAAGGAGGAGGACAGCUUACCAGUAGAAGAGAGGUUAAACAACACAGUGACUCCGCUAUGGAACCAGCCGUAUGAGGACCAGCUAUCCACCAAACAGACCAACACCAGGAAGUUUCUGAGGAAUUUAUCCAAGAUGCUGCAACGGAACAUUGGGGAGAUGUCUCCCUGGCUGAAGCAACAAAGGUGAGCUACUCACCAAAGACACGGGAUGGUUGUGGGCCAGAAUGGAAAUGUGAUCUUCCUUAACAA
rnacentral:misc_RNA from 1 species